GUAAGUUAUCUUCAGUUUUCUGAAAUAUUUAUUUGUUUGUAAACAUACUCGCUUUUCUAGUAAUCACACAGGAAUCGAUAAAGGGAAGAUCUUCUACCGUGCGGCUGCAAUUGUUCAGUAGACCGACGGUCCGAUUCUCAGUGUCCGGAAUUUGUGUUUAUGCAAAUUUAUAAUGAAAAUGUGUUAGUGCAAUUCAGGCAUCUGUGAAAUAUCUUCUUAUAUCUAUGAAAUAUAAUAUCUUUAUAAAAGUUA